rnacentral:rRNA from 1 species
UGGGGAAUUUUGGACAAUGGGCGCAAGCCUGAUCCAGCCAUGCCGCGUGCGGGAAGAAGGCCUUCGGGUUGUAAACCGCUUUUGUCAGGGAAGAAAUCUUCUGAGUUAAUACCUCGGGAGGAUGACGGUACCUGAAGAAUAAGCACCGGCUAACUACGUGCCAGCAGCCGCGGUAAUACGUAGGGUGCAAGCGUUAAUCGGAAUUACUGGGCGUAAAGCGUGCGCAGGCGGUUUUGUAAGACAGAGGUGAAAUCCCCGGGCUCAACCUGGGAACUGCCUUUGUGACUGCAAGGCUUGAGUGCGGCAGAGGGGGAUGGAAUUCCGCGUGUAGCAGUGAAAUGCGUAGAUAUGCGGAGGAACACCGAUGGCGAAGGCAAUCCCCUGGGCCUGCACUGACGCUCAUGCACGAAAGCGUGGGGAGCAAACAGGAUUAGAUAGCCCUGGUAGUCCACGCCCUAAACGAUGUCAACUGGUUGUUGGGAAGGUUCCUUCUCAGUAACGUAGCUAACGCGUGAAGUUGACCGCCUGGGGAGUACGGCCGCAAGGUUGAAACUUAAAGGAAUUGACGGGGU